AGGGGUGUAGGUAAGUGGCAUACCGGAGCUCUCCAAAAGCUCAUUCGGGGGUUCGAUUCCCUCCACCCCUG
rnacentral:tRNA from 1 species